rnacentral:rRNA from 1 species
UACCAGCACCCCGAGUGGUCGGGACGUUUAUUGGGCCUAAAGCAUCCGUAGCCGGUUCUACAAGUCUUCCGUUAAAUCCAGCUGCUUAACAGAUGGGCUGCGGAAGAUACUAUGGAGCUAGGAGGCGGGAGAGGCAAGCGGUACUCGAUGGGUAGGGGUAAAAUCCGUUGAUCCAUUGAAGACCACCAGUGGCGAAGGCGGCUUGCCAGAACGCGCUCGACGAUGAGGGAUGAAAGCUGGGGGAGCAAACCGG